CCCCUUCACUCAUGCCAUAAGACCACAUAAGGUCCCUUCCAGUCCUAUGAUUCUGUGAUUCGGGCUAAUGUUUCUAUCCCCUUGGGGAAGCAUCUUCUGGAGUUUGGAUGACACUGCAGAUGCUUUCAGCGUCUGGUGGUAACAUUGGUAUUUCUGCAUUUAGGCUUUAUCUACACACCAAAGCUGUUCCGUUUUAACUAGACCAGUAUGGCUAAUGCCAUAUGACCCCCUAGUGUGGAUGCAGUUAUACCAGUGUAAGGGUGCAUACAGUGGUAUAGCUAUACCCAUACAGGAAGGGGAAUAAACUAUAGCAGUAUAUGACCCCUUUAUUACAGUGUAACCGCAUCUACUCUGGAGCCUGUACUGAUCUAACUAUAGUGGUUAAAGAAUCACCGACCUAACCAAAAUGAUUCUCCUGGUCCAAGAACUUUGUGGGAGGCCAGCAGGCCUUCUGGAAAGGAAGGGUGGCUUAGUGGUUAGGGUGCCAGACUAGAACUUGGGGAAUAUAGGUUCUAUUCUCUAAGAACUUGGGCAAGUCACUUAGCCUCGCUGUGCCUCAGUUUCCCUAUCUGUACAGUGGUGAUAUUACAAGGGUGUUGGGAAGAUAACUACAUGCUGAUGGGGGCCAUAUACGUACCUUAGAUACAAUUAUUCAUGGAUUUCCUUCCGCCUCAGCCUACAUAUCCAAAGAAUGGCAGAGAACUGCAUGACUCAGGCAAUAAGGAUCAGGCGGGAGCCUCUUGUAUAAAUGUCAUUUCAAAGCCAGCCAGAAGGGAAUGGGGGGCUGUUUGGGGGGAUUAUGUGAGACAAGCUGGUGGAUCUCCAGUCAUUUCCUGCAAGAUCGGAGUCCCACAGUGUUACCUCAGCCAAGAGGACACAGAGCGAAUGGAGACAGAAGCUCAACUCCCCUUUGCCACCCCCAGGCCCUGGUCUGAGGCACAUCGGCAGGGAACGCUGGAGCUGCUCAGACCAUUCAGGACCAUGCUGCCCCCAAGAGCUUUUCCAUCAUCCCCCAAGCUGCCCUCCCUGGUAGCUGAGAUGGAAAUGGCCCAUAGGAUCCCCUAGUCCCAUCUCUUUGCCAAUGCAGACUGCUCCCCACAGCACUUUCUCUACAGUUUAGUCUCAUUUUAAAGAGCCGGAUGGCCUUUAUGGACACCAGCAGCCACACAAAGUACUAGCUAAAUGAAGCAGGCACUGGAGGGCAUGUGGUUCAAGUCCACAUACCCAUCACUGCACUGUCCGACCCUUUCAGAGAAUGGGUCAUCUCUCUGGAAGUUUCAUAGAGUUUAAGGCCAGAAUAGUCUGACAUCCUACGUGGCCCAGGCCAUUACAUCUCACCCAGAUACCCCUACACUGAACCUAACGACUUGAGUUAAACCAAAGCAUUUCAGUCCACAGGCAGAGAACACGCGAGACCGAGGCCCCAGCAACAGCAGGGAAUUGAUGAAGUGAGACAUGGCCAGAUGAUUCCAGUUAGUGCUCCACGCUCCAUGUUGCAGAGGAAGGAGAAAGACCCUUCCCAGGAUAAGGCAGGGAAAUGGGCUACUUGCCCCCUGCUGCCAAUGUUCUCAGCACUGUCUGCAGCCACCGACCCAUUAGCUGGGUGCGUCAACGCCCUGGAAAGCAUCUCACAGUGGAAAGUGAAGGCUCCUUCCCAGACAAAACAGAACACACGGUUGCUCAGGACAGCAGAAUAGCAAGGGCUGCUGAGUCUCCUGUGGCUGUUUGUGUGGGUGAAUGUAGCUGGUAGGGAUAGACAUUUACCAUGUCUGUCUAAGGUGACGCUCUUACAUGAAUGACAUUCAGCUCCUGGCUGGCAGAUGCACCAGCAGCAUCUACCAGAGCAAAGAGGAGCUUAGCAAAUAAAACACCAGCAUCCUGUGCCUCCUGCCUGCUUCUAAUGACCAGGGAGACAGGUGCUGGUUCGUGGCCCUUCCACUUGGUACUGCACGAAUCCCUGAACAGGACAAACACAAGGGGCAACCGCACUGCAUGGAUGCCAAAGUUAUUCAUUGCAAGCAGGUUCUGCUGCAGGGCUAAGAGCAGCCAAGCGGACAGAUGGGAUAAAAGGAAAGCAGCACAUCUAGAAACAUUCCAGAAGGAAGAUCCUGUCCAGACCAAUGCGGAAGGGACAAGAGUAAACAGAAAAGAACAAAAGAGCGAUCUGGCACCUGACCAAGCAACAGCCAAUUAAGCCUGCGGCACAGUCAGGUGAGCAAGACAACAGGCAAUGCCAAGCUAUCAGAAUGCCACUGGGAGGGGCUGGUUCCAUUCCACUGCUGGCAAACCAGAAGGCAGGAGCUGUGCAGGGAGGACAAGCAGAGGGCAGAGAAGCUGUCACCGAGCCCGGCUCAGCAGUCUGUCCACGGAACUCGGGUUGUUAAUGACACACAGCACUUCAGUGGCAUUUUCCACCCAGAGAUCUCCAAGCACUUUGCAAAGGGGAUGGAAAUAUCACUACCUCACAUUAGAUAGGGAAACUGAGGCAGAGAGAGAGCAAGGCUGAGACUUUUCAAAGCCUUGAGUGUGUAAGGGGACUGUUGGCCUUUACUAAAACUCAGUGGGGUGUUUUGGUUGGUUAGCUCCCUGUACCAAA